rnacentral:rRNA from 1 species
CUGCUCAGGACGAACGCUGGCGGCGUGCCUAAUACAUGCAAGUCGAGCGGACAGAUGGGAGCUUGCUCCCUGAUGUUAGCGGCGGACGGGUGAGUAACACGUGGGUAACCUGCCUGUAAGACUGGGAUAACUCCGGGAAACCGGGGCUAAUACCGGAUGGUUGUYUGAACCGCAUGGUUCAGACAUAAAAGGUGGCUUCGGCUACCACUUACAGAUGGACCCGCGGCGCAUUAGCUAGUUGGUGAGGUAACGGCUCACCAAGGCGACGAUGCGUAGCCGACCUGAGAGGGUGAUCGGCCACACUGGGACUGAGACACGGCCCAGACUCCUACGGGAGGCAGCAGUAGGGAAUCUUCCGCAAUGGACGAAAGUCUGACGGAGCAACGCCGCGUGAGUGAUGAAGGUUUUCGGAUCGUAAAGCUCUGUUGUUAGGGAAGAACAAGUGCCGUUCAAAUAGGGCGGCACCUUGACGGUACCUAACCAGAAAGCCACGGCUAACUACGUGCCAGCAGCCGCGGUAAUACGUAGGUGGCAAGCGUUGUCCGGAAUUAUUGGGCGUAAAGGGCUCGCAGGCGGUUUCUUAAGUCUGAUGUGAAAGCCCCCGGCUCAACCGGGGAGGGUCAUUGGAAACUGGGGAACUUGAGUGCAGAAGAGGAGAGUGGAAUUCCACGUGUAGCGGUGAAAUGCGUAGAGANGUGGAGGAACACCAGUGGCGAAGGCGACUCUCUGGUCUGUAACUGACGCUGAGGAGCGAAAGCUGRRGAGCGAACAGGAUUAGAUACCCUGGUAGUCCACGCCGUAAACGAUGAGUGCUAAGUGUUAGGGGGUUUCCGCCCCUUAGUGCUGCAGCUAACGCAUUAAGCACUCCGCCUGGGGAGUACGGUCGCAAGACUGAAACUCAAAGGAAUUGACGGGGGCCCGCACAAGCGGUGGAGCAUGUGGUUUAAUUCGAAGCAACGCGAAGAACCUUACCAGGUCUUGACAUCCUCUGACAAUCCUAGAGAUAGGACGUCCCCUUCGGGGGCAGAGUGACAGGUGGUGCAUGGUUGUCGUCAGCUCGUGUCGUGAGAUGUUGGGUUAAGUCCCGCAACGAGCGCAACCCUUGAUCUUAGUUGCCAGCAUUCAGUUGGGCACUCUAAGGUGACUGCCGGUGACAAACCGGAGGAAGGUGGGGAUGACGUCAAAUCAUCAUGCCCCUUAUGACCUGGGCUACACACGUGCUACAAUGGACAGAAC